rnacentral:ncRNA from 2 species
AUCUUUGUCGCGCAAUUUGGUUUCCUGAGUAUAAUAUGCUUUGGAAUUAAAUGGGAACCGGGUGAGAAUCCCGGGCAGUUCCCGCUGCUGUAACAUCUUUUCCGUGUUUACGGAAUAAUGGAAAGGCCUUACAUGCCACUGUUUAUGGAUAAAUGGGAAGGCGCCUGACCGCAUGAUGAAGCCAGAAGACCUGCCUGUUGCGAUGUGUUCGA